rnacentral:misc_RNA from 1 species
CAACCCUCAAGCCCGGCUUGGUGUUGGGCCCCGCCCGCUCGCGGCCGGCCCUAAAGACAGUGGCGGCGCCGCCUGGCCCUAAGCGUAGUACAGCUCUCGCUCCAGGGUCCGGCGGCGGCCUGCCAGAACCCCAACUCUGU